rnacentral:rRNA from 1 species
AGCGAACGCUGGCGGCAGGCUUAACACAUGCAAGUCGAACGGGCGUAGCAAUACGUCAGUGGCAGACGGGUGAGUAACGCGUGGGAACGUACCUUUUGGUUCGGAACAACACAGGGAAACUUGUGCUAAUACCGGAUAAGCCCUUACGGGGAAAGAUUUAUCGCCGAAAGAUCGGCCCGCGUCUGAUUAGCUAGUUGGUGAGGUAACGGCUCACCAAGGCGACGAUCAGUAGCUGGUCUGAGAGGAUGAUCAGCCACAUUGGGACUGAGACACGGCCCAAACUCCUACGGGAGGCAGCAGUGGGGAAUAUUGGACAAUGGGCGCAAGCCUGAUCCAGCCAUGCCGCGUGAGUGAUGAAGGCCCUAGGGUUGUAAAGCUCUUUUGUGCGGGAAGAUAAUGACGGUACCGCAAGAAUAAGCCCCGGCUAACUUCGUGCCAGCAGCCGCGGUAAGGUGCGCGAGU